rnacentral:rRNA from 1 species
GACGAACGCUGGCGGCGUGCUUAACACAUGCAAGUCGAACGGAAAGGCCCUGCUUUUGUGGGGUGCUCGAGUGGCGAACGGGUGAGUAACACGUGAGUAACCUGCCCUUGACUUUGGGAUAACUUCAGGAAACUGGGGCUAAUACCGGAUAGGAGCUCCUGCUGCAUGGUGGGGGUUGGAAAGUUUCGGCGGUUGGGGAUGGACUCGCGGCUUAUCAGCUUGUUGGUGGGGUAGUGGCUUACCAAGGCUUUGACGGGUAGCCGGCCUGAGAGGGUGACCGGCCACAAGGGGACUGAGAUACGGACCAGACUCCUACGGGAGGCAGCAGGGGGGAAUAUUGCACAGUGGGCGGAAGCCUGAUGCAGCAACGCCGCGUGCGGGAUGACGGCCUUCGGGUUGUAAACCGCUUUCGCCUGUGACGAAGCGUGAGUGACGGUAAUGGGUAAAGAAGCACCGGCUAACUACGUG